rnacentral:rRNA from 1 species
GUAUGGGGCCGUAUUUGCCAUGGAGGGUGAGAAUCCCGUCCGGUUGAUCAUUUGCGUUUUACGAUACGCUUUCUAAGAGUCAAGUUGUUUGGGAUUGCAGCUUAAAAUGGGAGGUAAAUUUCUCCUAAGGCUAAAUAACGGCGAGAGACCGAUAGCGAACAAGUACCGUGAGGGAAAGAUGAAAAGAACUUUGAAAAGAGAGUUAAACAGUACGUGAAAUUGUUGAAAGGGAAACGAUUGAAGCCAGUCGUACCUUCGGGUAAUCAGCCUUUCGGGUGCGAUUCUGUGGAGUUUGAGGAGCUUUAACACCUUCAUGCUUUGCAUAUUCGUGCUCUUGGGUGUACUUGCCCGUGUGGUUGGUUAACAUCAAUUUCGGGCACCAUAAAAUGGCUGGAGGAAUGU